rnacentral:lncRNA from 1 species
GGGAGCUGGCCACAAAGGGGCAGGGGCAGCUGCGGGUGACGGGAUGUUCCGUGUGAUGGGUGACGGGAUGUUCCGUGUGACGGGUGAUGGGAUGUUCCGUGUGAUGGGUGACGGGAUGUUCUGUGUGACUGGUGACAGGAUGUUCCGUGUGACGGGUGAUCGGAUGUUCCGUGUGAGUGGGUGAUGGGAUGUUCCAUGUGAUGGGUGAUCAGAUAUUCCGUGUCAGCGGGAGACGGAAUGUUCCGUGUGACGGGUGACGGGAUGUUCCAUGUGAUGGGUGAGAUGUUCUGUGUGAUUGGUGAGAUGUUCCAUGUGACGGGUGAUGGGAUGUUCCGUGUGACAGGUGACGGGAUGUUCCAUGUGAUGGGUUACGGGAUGUUCCGUGUGACGGGUGACGGGAUGUUCCGUGUGACAGGUGAUGGGAUGUUCCGUGUGAUGGGUGAGAUGUUCCAUGUCAGCGGGUGACGGGAUGUUCCGUGUGAUGGGUGAGAUGUUCCAUGUGACGGGUGAUGGGAUGUUCCGUGUGACGGGUGAUGGCAUGUUCCGUGUGACGGGUGAUGGGAUGUUCCGUGUGAUGGGUGACGGGAUGUUCCGUGUUACAGGUGACGGGAUGUUCCGUGUGACGGGUGAGAUGUUCUGUGUCAGCGGGUGAUGGGAUGUUCCGUGUGAUGGGUGAGAUGUUCUGUGUCAGCGGGUGACGGGAUGUUCCGUGUGACAGGUGAGAUGUUCCGUGUGAUGGGUGAUGGGAUGUUCCAUGUGACGGGUGAUGGGAUGUUCCGUGUGACAGGUGAGAUGUUCCGUGUCAGCGGGUGACGGGAUGUUCCGUGUGAUGGGUGAGAUGUUCCGUGUGAUGGGUGAUGGGAUGUUCCAUGUGACGGGUGAUGGGAUGUUCCGUGUGACGGGUGAGAUGUUCUGUGUCAGCGGGUGACGGGAUGUUCCGUGUGAUGGGUGAGAUGUUCCGUGUGAUGGGUGAGAUGUUCUGUGUGAUGGGUGAUGGGAUGUUCCGUGUGACGGGUGAUGGGAUGUUCCAUGUGACGGGUGAUGGGAUGUUCCGUGUGACGGGUGAUGGGAUGUUCCGUGUGACGGGUGAGAUGUUCUGUGUCAGCGGGUGACGGGAUGUUCCGUGUGAUGGGUGAGAUGUUCUGUGUCUGCAGGUGAUGGGAUGUUCCGUGUGAUGGGGGAGAUGUUCCGUGUCAGCGGGUGACGGGAUGUUCCGUGUGACGGGUGAGAUGUUCUGUGUCAGCGGGUGACGGGAUGUUCCGUGUGACGGGUGAGGGGAUGUUCCAUGUGACGGGUGAGAUGUUCUGUGUCAGCGGGUGACGGGAUGUUCCGUGUGAUGGGUGAGAUGUUCCGUGUCAGCAGGUGACGGGAUGUUCCGUGUGAUGGGUGAGAUGUUCCGUGUGAUGGGUGUGGGAUGUUCCGUGUGACGGGUGAGAUGUUCCGUGUCAGCGGGUGACGGGAUGUUCCGUGUGAUGGGUGAGAUGUUCUGUGUGAUGGGUGAUGGGAUGUUCCGUGUGAUGGGUGAUGGGAUGUUCCAUGUGAGCAGAUGACGGGAUGUUCCAUGUGAUGGGUGAAGGGAUGUUCCAUGUGACGGGUGAGAUGUGAUGGGUGAUGGGAUGUUCCGUGUGAUGGGUGAAGGGAUGUUCUGUGUGACGGGUGAGAUGUGAUGGCUGACGGGAUGUUCCGUGUCAUGGGUGAGAUGUGACAAGUGAUGGGAUGUUCUGUGUGAUGGGAUGUUCCGUGUGACGGGUGAUCGGAUGUUCCGUGUCAGCAGGUGACAGGAUGUUCCGUGUGAGGGGUGAAGGGAUGUUCUGUGUGACAGGUGAGAUGUUCCGUGUGACGGGAUGUUCUGUGUGACGGGUGAUGGUCAGCUGUGUACAGUCACCUAA